rnacentral:rRNA from 1 species
AUUGAACGCUGGCGGCAGGCCUAACACAUGCAAGUCGAAUGGUAACAGGAAACAGCUUGCUGUUUCGCUGACGAGUGGCGGACGGGUGAGUAAUGUCUGGGAAACUGCCUGAUGGAGGGGGAUAACUACUGGAAACGGUAGCUAAUACCGCAUAACGUCGCAAGACCAAAGAGGGGGACCUUCGGGCCUCUUGCCAUCAGAUGUGCCCAGAUGGGAUUAGCUAGUAGGUGGGGUAACGGCUCACCUAGGCGACGAUCCCUAGCUGGUCUGAGAGGAUGACCAGCCACACUGGAACUGGGACACGGUCCAGACUCCUACGGGGGGCAACAGGGGGGAAUAUUGGACAAUGGGCGGAAGCCUGAUGCAGCCAUGCCGGGGGGAUAAAAGAGGCCUUCGGGUUGUAAAGUACUUUUAGCGGGGAGGAAGGGAGUAAAGUUAAUACCUUUGCUCAUUGACGUUACCCGCAGAAGAAGCACCGGCUAACUCCGUG